GCAGAGGGAAGGAGGAGGAGGAUGGGGGCAAAGCCAGAUUUAGUUAGCUCUGUCUGCCCUUGGUGUGCGCAGCACUUGCUGUUGGCUUCCCCAUCUUCUGCCCAGUGGGCACAAACCUCCACUGACUAUAUGGGGCACUGAAGGUCUGUGAGAAAAAGAGCAUAUUUUAUUCCUGUUUCCUCCUGCUUUGCAUGACGGAGCAUCAAGUUUCCACCUCAAAUUUAAUGAAUAAAAAAAAAAAGUAUUUGAAACAAAAAAAAAUAUUUGUUUUAUGAAAUAAUGAUAUUGGAAACUGCUACAUUCAAAUUAAGAGGAAAUUCAGAUGGAGGAGAUUAGAGGAAGUCAACUAAAAUGUUUAUGGAAAUGGAUCUUAAUUAAUUAAUUGAGUUUCUUUUUUUCUGUUUAGGUAUGUUAAGUCUGUUAUUCUUUUUUAUUUUUUAUUUAUUGUGUUGUUGUGGUGUUGUUGUGUUGUUGGAUAUUCUCUUUUUUGUUAUGUCUAUUGAAAAUUAAUAAAUAUUAUUGUUUAAAAAAAAAGUAUUUGGGUCUUAGAAAGACUUGAGGCCUAGCCUGCCACUCAGAAUAGACCACGCUAAGCGGUGCUAGACAGACCAGUGGCCUGUUCAAUUCCAAUUCAAGGCAGCUCCAUUUUUCAUGUACAUGCAUCACAUUCUGCUGGUGUUUGCACUGCCUCAGUCUCCAGGGAUAAAAAUCACAAAGCCUAUAGAAAGCGUCCUGAGCCCAUGUUGUGCUCCCACAUGCUGUGAGAGACCUGGAACGCUCCCAGGAGUAACAAUAGACUGGCUGCCAAACAGUCCGAAAGUUUGUGUCUUCGGUCAGCCGUAAUCUAUGCCCAGUUCCCCCCACCCACCCGGCACUGUCUGCCCCUCUUGUGGGAAGGAACUGCAAAUUAAGCAGAAACACAACAAGCCAAAGUUACUGAAUUAAAAUAUCCAUUUUCUCCAGAAACCAUACCUUUGGGGGAUUUGGUAUUUAUCUGUUGCUGUAGUUUUACUUCCCUUCAGUGUCUGAAGUUAAUGUUUUAUGCCACAGGGGCAGCGGAUGGGAGUGGGAGGCAAAAGACCUUGGGAUGAGCACGAGAGAGGCUGAAUAAAUAGGUAUCCAGUGUGGGGUUUCAUCAGCAUAAAUUGGUUGAUGAGGGAUCAUUUAAAAAUUCCAUUAUGAGGCUGGUAAUUAUAUUCACACACUGUCACACUUUGAAAUUACCAUACUUUUCCGUGUAUAAGACUAGGUGUUUUUUUUUACUAAAAAUAAUGUUAAAAGGGGGGUAGUCUUAUACACAGGGGCAAUCUCCCCCCAUUUUCUUAAUUUUGAGUCCCCCAAAAUAGGGGGCAUCUUAUACAUGGAAAAAUACAGUAAUUGUUUGGGUUUAUUUUAUUUUUUAAAGUUGUCCUAUUGCCCCAUAAGAUAUAUGUGUAUUUUGCUAAAGCUGUUAACUCCAUUGUGUCCAAAAUUCACCAUUAAGCUAACUGUUUACUGGGUUAAUGGGUUUUUUCCCAUUAUUAAAAGGAAUUAAAAGUUGUUCAGUUCUUUUGUCCUUCAUCCAAAACAAUCUUUUCCAAUUUCGGAUGUUGUUUUUCUAUCCCUGACUAUUGUCCAUGCUGGCUGGGACUGUUGAGAGUUGGGUGUCCAAUAACCUCUGGAGGUCAGCAGGUCAGAGAUGGCUGUGUUAAAUAUGUGUGCACAUUUAGCACAUCUGAUUUGCUUUCUAAUCUAAGAAGCGGUCAUGGGAGGAAGAAUCAGGGUUGGGACUGUCAGGAGCUGUCAGCAGGAAGGGGCCCCACUGAAGACCUGGCUUCCUGGCCCUGACAGCGCUACCAGGUACCGAGAUUGUUCAGCAAUGGGACAGCAGGUCAGACAGCAUAGGAGCACCUGUAGGAACACUGGAUUGACUCCGUCAUGCACUGGCAGUGCCCUGAGCAUGUUACUGUACAUUCCUCUCCCUAGCUCUCUGGUGCCCCUGCUCCUAAUUUUCCAUAGCCUGGAGCAAUACUAGGAUAAAUAGUUCCCCAUAAGGAAGGGUUGUUGACAAGCUGCGGCAGCAUCAGAUUUGGGUAACUCUAGGGCGUCGGGUGUUAUCUUUGUCCAGGCCAGAUGGACCACCCAAGUGAUGCUAUUCUAGGACUAGAACUGGGUGCUCAUGGCUCUGUGUAAAUCAGUUUUUCCCAAACUUAGGUCUCCAGCUGUUGUUGAACUACAGCUCCCAUCAUCCCUAUCUAGCAGGACCAGUGGUCAAGGAUGAGGGGAACUGUAGUCCAAAAAUAGAUGGAGACCCAAGUUUGGGAAACCCUGGUGUAGACCAUGCCUUGGCCAGUCCAAGACGCUUAGCUACCUGGCCCAAGUAGAAGGCACUGUACAGAACUGCAGGUUGAAUCUAGUGGUGUGUUAUCCAGAAACUGACAGAAUUGCCCUUCCAUCCUCUCAGCUCAGCUCUCAGUAAGGCCAGCCCAUAACAUAAUUCAGAAAUGUUUCCUCCCAUGAAUGAAGGGACGGAGGACAGAAUCCACAGUAAAGCAAGAUCAAAGCCCUGCAAUUUGGUGCCAUGAGCUUUAUGACACACACCUUUCUGUGUCUGGUGUGAUCCUUUGAGUGCAUUUUGUGGUCUAAAUAAAAGGUGGAGUUGUCACCUUCCAACACCACCUUGAAAGGGACCCUGCUGGAUUUGAGUGUGUUAUGAUGGGAGGUUAUUGAUUGCACUUCUAAGCCAUUGUUUUGCUGCAGUUCACAGCUGUGGGGAACAGUCCCCCCCCCCCUUGCUGGCACAUUUCCCCUUGAAGAUUUAUGCUUUUGAUAAAAGCUCACAAUGUUGUCAUGUUUGUUCCAUAAAUCGGGUUUCUUCAACCUGGUUCAGUUUGAUGAAGAAGGCUCGCGUGCCCAACAGAAUUCCAGAAACCGUCAAAUUCAGGGGGAUGAAUGUUGGCUUUUAUGAAAAUCUUAGCUCCCAUUGAAUGGCCAUAGACCAAAAAUUCUGCAGACAAGUCUGAGGAGAGACUGCUGCUUCCCAUUAAUAAAAUUUUUAGCCUCAAGCACCAAAACAGAGUUUUGGCUUUCCUUCCUUAUUCCCUGAGCAAUGGGAAGUUUAAUAACAGAAGGCUACUGAAACAGAGAUGAAGAGCAUCUUCAAACUCUGUACUAUCAUUAUGAAGCACUGAGGUUGCUUUCAAAGUGUGCUCUGAGGGGGCAGGAGUCCUUUGGGGGUUCAUCAGGGGUUCCUCAGUGAACAAAUCACUGAUAGUGAACAAACCUCCUCAAAAGACAGCUUGUCCUCUAAUAUUAAAUCACGUCAUCAACAACCCUCUCCCAAGCUGUUACUGGUCCUACAAAGAAAAAUAUGUUGAUGUGCUUAAUCCACAAGACUAGUUACAACGUCUGGGGGAUGAUAUUGAGAAAAUGGCAAGAUAUGGCUCUUGCUCUGGCACCAUAGCUCUGAUCUAGGUUGUACACAUACCAGUGGUGACUGGUGCACAUUAGGACUGAUAGGGAAGAAGGCAGAGAUGUCAACAGUAGAUGGAAGUAUUGUACAUGUUCAUUCAGUACAACAGAAAGGACAAUCUUGUCCCCUUACCACCAGCUGCCCAUGGCUUCCUCUGGGACAAUCUCUUAAGAUGGAGAGCUGGGCAGUUCUCAAACACAACAAAAAUGUGCACAUGUUUCUCCUCAUAAAGUCAUAUUAAUAUGCCUACACUUUCCCGCAAAUGGAUUCAUUUAUAGUAUCACAGAAUUGUCAUCCAGGCCAACCCCCUGCAAUGCAGGAAUCUCAACUAGAUCAUACAUGACAAGUGGCCAUCCAACCUCUGCUUAAAAACCCUCUCAUGGGAGCCUAUUCCACUAUCAAACAGCUCUUACUGUCAGAAAGUUCUUCCUGAUGUUUAGUCAGAAUCUCCUUUCAGGUUAAAGAAGGCAUAUUAAUGAGGCCUAUUAAUAUGAGUGUAUUAGGAGAAAGAUUAGCUAAAAUGCUGGUGAAUUUUUGUGAAAACUUAAAAAAACAACAUAAAUGGGUUCAGAAAUGUAACAUACCAGACUUAAGCUUGAAAAAACAAGAAACUGAUCAAAGAUCCUGUUGCAUGUCUCAAUGACAGAACUUAAAAUAGGAAAAAAGAGAGUGAUAACAAAAAUUGACAGAUUCAUGCAUCCCUUACACAGAGUGUCACCAAAGAGAAGAUUCUGUUGUGUAUAUGAAUAGCUGAAAUCACUAAGGAAAAACGUUUUC
rnacentral:lncRNA from 1 species